GACGAACGCUGGCGGCGUGCUUAACACAUGCAAGUCGAACGGUGAAGCGCUUGCCUUUUUGGUGGGUGUGGAUGAGUGGCGAACGGGUGAGUAACACGUGAGUAACCUGCCCUCUUCUUCUGGAUAACCUCAUGAAAGUGGGGCUAAUACGGGGUAUUCCGGGUCUGUCGCAUGGCGGGUUUGGGAAAGAUUGCGCCUUUGGGGGUUUUCGGUGGGGGAUGGGCUCGCGGCCUAUCAGCUUGUUGGUGGGGUGAUGGCCUACCAAGGCGGUGACGGGUAGCCGGCCUGAGAGGGUGGACGGCCACACUGGGACUGAGACACGGCCCAGACUCCUGCGGGAGGCAGCAGUGGGGAAUAUUGCACAAUGGGCGCAAGCCUGAUGCAGCGACGCCGCGUGAGGGAUGGAGGCCUUCGGGUUGUGAACCUCUUUCGCCAGUGAAGCAGGCCUGCUCCUGUGUGGGUGGGUUGACGGUAGCUGGAUAAGAAGCGCCGGCUAACUACGUG
rnacentral:rRNA from 1 species